GAUAUUUCUAAUUAAUUCACCACAGGGUGUAGAUGACAUGCUCUAUAUUCGCCCCACAGUUUGCUUUAGAGGCUGUCUAAACACUGACAUUUGGCAGCGGUGUGGCCAGUUUGCAAAGACUAAGUAUCUAACCUGGGCUUACGUCAUACGCACGCAGGCACGCACACAGGCACGCACGCACCCACCUGCCAGCCCCCACGCUUGCGCCGCUUGUCUUUCAAGCAGGGGACUUGAAGUUGGUUAAACAAGUAGGAGGCGGAAGAGAAAUUUGGUCAGGAACUGGAGCGAGUAGGUGAUUUUUUAAAAUCCCUACUUUCGUUGGUGGAGAGAUAAAUUACCCCCGAGUAGAAGGGACUGUUGCACCUGGACACAGCUGACUCAGCGCGACCUGGCUGCCUGCCUUGUUCUCCUCAGGAAACCGCCUGUGCUGGCAGGUCUCUGAGAAAUAUCGAAUGCUGAAGCAAGGAACCAAGAUGGACGAUUAUAGAAAAUGUCUGUGCAUACACGUGAAUGCAAAGAAGUGACUACUUACCUGCCCCCGGUUAAGCCCAAAAACUGAGCAGGAAAGGCAAAUGAAAAUGUGCACGUGUCUAUGUCUUUGGGUUCUGUUUUUCUCUAGAAAACAGGGGCUAUAAGAAAAUCCUAGCUGUUCCAUAUGGUAAGGAUUGGCAUCUUUGCAUUAACUGAAGCUCCUGUAUCUAAGAUGACCAGUUCCGAAAGAGUUGGAAUAAUAAGAGUUGCCAUAAUGACAAAGGUAUCUCUAAUGAAUCUUUGUUGAUUCAAAAGCAGUUUAGGCUGAUGGCACUAGUAUCUUACAUUGCCACAGAAUCAUCAUUAGGAACAUUAAGAUGGUUAACAUACUUUUUGACAGACAUCUCCAAAGAAGACUUAGUUUCAUUGACAUAAAAUGUAAGGACAACUUGAAUUCAAGAAAUGCCUGCUUUAUGUGAAAUUUCAAGUUUACCAGCCAUCUCUCAAUUUGCUGGAAUGAAUGUGCCAUCACUGCUUAGUACUUAAGAGAGGAAGUAUUAUCCCAUUGACCAAGAGAGGAAAGAAAUUUAAAAUGCUUCAAGUACUAUGCAACCAAACUAAAUAAGAAGAAAGAAGCAUCUGUGUUCUUAUUGAUUCAGAGAAUUAACCACGAAAAUGCAUCGUCUCUAAAGAAUCUGGGAUUUGUAUAAGCACCCUACAGAGUGCAAAACAUUGUCAUUUAUAUUUAUUGAUUGAUUUUUAUGUCAAGUCUCUGUGCUCCGUUUCAUGGAUAAGGUUUGGGGAGAUUAAUUAUGGAUUCCAAACUAAGCAGCUAAUAAAUGGCCAAGAUGGGACUUGAAACAGAUACUCUUACUGCAGGUGCCAUCCUUUUUCUACCAAACCAGAUGCUUUAACUUUGAGUCUUCAUUUGUUCAAAGCUUUUGAGCAGAGAUUUGCAAAUUUUCAAAAGAACUUUUCCAAUAGACAGGGUCUUGAGGUGAGCUUGUGUUCUCAUGAGGCAAACAUCCUCCAUUUCCUGUUUCAGCUGUGGUUUUGGUUUUGAAUCUUCUCUGUCUUCUCCUUUUUUUUUUUUUAACCUCCUGUUCCUCCUUCUCUGAAUCUUCUUCCACUUCCAUCACCAUCAUCAGCAUCAGCAUCAUCACAUCUCAUCAUCAAACUCAGCUUACAAAUGGGGCACAGGGUGUGGUGGCAAGGGAGUAGUCAUCUAUGCUACCCCUCUUUUUCUUUCUUUAAGUUAAAAUUUAUCUGGUUAUUAUCCACCAAAGAAAGGGGAAAAUAUUUCAUUUAUUCUUUGUCUAUCUCUCUCUCGCAAUAAUCCUCCUCUUUGCUCUUUUCCCCCUUCACUUCAUCCUUUAUGUUUUCCCCACUUUAUCAGCUCUCCUCUAAAUACCUAACCACAGAAAUUCCAAAGCAGCUGUUUUCUGGGGCAGAACAACCAUCUGCCUCCCUGCUUGGGCACCACCCUUACAUACCAGAGAUGGACAGGCUGUUCUGAUCUCUCUCUGCCUCAGAAUCUAGUUAACCACCUUCACAGGCUUCAUUCCACAGGCCACACAUCAGCCUGUGGCUUCAGUAAUAUGUAAAGAUGGAUUUGUUGAAUUUCAGUGCAGGAGCAGAAACCAGUGUAUGUUGCCCAUGACCCCCCCCCCCCCCCACUGCCCGCCCCACCACA